ACUAGGGUGGCUUAGUCAGUUAAGCAUCUGACUUCAGCUCAGAUCAUGAUCUCACAGUUCAUGGGUUUGAGUCCCAUUGCUGGGC
rnacentral:tRNA from 1 species